rnacentral:rRNA from 1 species
GGGGGGGGGGGGGGGGGGGGGGGGGGGAGGGGGGGCGAGCGGGGGGGGGGGGCGGGGGGGGGGGGGUCGAGUGGCGAACGGGUGAGGAACACGUGAGUAACCUGCCCUUGACGUUGGGAUAACUUCAGGAAACUGGGGCUAAUACCGGAUAGGAGCUCCUGCUGCAUGGUGGGGGUUGGAAAGGUUCGGCGGUUGGGGAUGGACUCGCGGCUUAUCAGCUUGUUGGUGGGGGAGGGGCUUACCAAGGCUUUGACGGGUAGCCGGCCUGGGAGGGUGACCGGCCACAGUGGGACUGAGAUACGGCCCAGACUCCCACGGGAGGCAUCAGUGGGGAAUAUUGCACAAUGGGCGGAAGCCUGAUGCAGCAACGCCGGGUGGGGGAUGACGGCCUUCGGGUUGUAAACCGCGUUCGCCUGUGACGAAGCGUGAGUGACGGUAAUGGGUAAAGAAGCACCGGCUAACUACGUG